GGAAAGAAAGGGCAACCCUGCUGGAGGCUGUGGCACAGGAACUGUGUCCAAGAAUCUUUGCCCCAUCGCAAAGCAGCAUCCCCCCUCUUCAACCACAGGGAAAAACCCAACUACCCUGUCCUCAUGUCUCCGAGUCUCCAAUCCUGGUACCUGAGUGCCCUCUAUUGCUAUAUCCUGGUUUUUAGUCCCUUGGUCCUCAGCUAGCAUGGCAAUCUUAUAAAUCAGCCCACAGCGAGACUACAGUGGAUGCUUCAUUUUUCCUCCCAGUGAUGGAUGUGAUCAGGAGCCUCCUGUCCUAAUCCAAACAACAGGCUGAUAGUUAAGUCUUGAGACAAGGCUACAGCACUGCCUGGUAUUUCACAAUAUUGGAGCCCAAAUUGGAAUGAGCCCAGGAAAUGGCAUCCUCCUCAACUCAUACAUCUAUUUAUUGUUAGAGAUUUAGAAAAAUGAGAGGCUACUGGAAAACCUCAAAUUUAUGUGAAAACCAAAGAAACAACUUGGCAUUGGUUUGGAGGGUCAGUAGACCAGGGGAGGGGCAGGAGAAGAUUAUGCGAUCCUGACAUGAUUAUGGAGAUUAAAGCUGGGUUUUCAGACCUCUUCCUUCCACCA